GAAAAUUCUAGAGAAAAGGAAGGAGAGAAAACUCUAGCUAGAGAGAAGAAGAGAACUCGGAUUUGGGAGAAAAAAAGCACCAAACGGAUAGCAAGCAGCCAUGACGUUUUAAUCGCGUUAGAAGAGUUUUCGAGGCAGGCUUUGGCGAGUUUUGGCCAAUUUCGGGAAAGGUUAAGGAGGUAUCAAGGCAAGCCGGAUUUCAAUUAAUCCCGAAAAAGUAUGUGAAACUUCCUUCUUUCUCUUGGCAUGUUUUUGGCAUAAGUACAGGCGCGCGCUUUGGGGAUUCGCCAGCUUAGGAUUCCACUCAGUAAAUUUAUAAAAAGCUCCAUUGAAUCGGAGCCGAGUUUUGGUACUAAACCUUCUAUGUAUAUAUUUAUUUGAUUACGGGUACGGUGGGGGCCCUGUCUCGCCUUAUGUUACUGUUCUUACUCUUAGAGGUCUGUAGACAUGUAUGUGAGUUGUAUAUGUAUGCAUGUAAGGUUGUGCCUAUAUGUUACGAUAGCCUUGUCGGCUUAUAUAUUGUCUUGCCAGUUGGUACGCUAUGACUCAAAUAGAAGACAUGUUUACUUAUCGUUAGCAGGGGUAUACGCGAGUGUCCAGUUCGGGCGCCCGUCACGGCCUACGGGGUUGGGUCGUGACAAUACUAGCAUGUACAUACCUAAAGCCCAAUUCUUAUAAUAAUGUUGGUCCAACACUAACUCACUACAAUAUAUAUAUAUUAUACUUAUAUAAUAUUAACCCCACCUCUUUCUUCUUUUUCCUUUUCCACCUUCCAAUCCCACCUAAACCUUUAUUUUUUUAAAUUCCCAAACAUCAUUAUUCUCUUACUCCCAUCCUUGUCCUUUUCCCUUUCCCCCCACCAAAUCCAUCAUUAUUUAAAAACCUCAUUAUUAUUCCCACCAACCUCACUGUUUUUUAAAAAAUCUCUUCAUCUUCUUUAUAAAAAGAGGAAGAACAACAUAUAUCAAAAAAAAAGGAGAAUAAAUUGACAUUCAAAAACAUGAAAGAAGAAUAAAAAAAAAAGAGGAAAGCAAGAACAUAAUACUAAAAAAAAAAUUAGACAAAAAAAAUCACAAAAAAAUUUAGUCUCGGAUUUUCGAUUCCAUUUUUUUAGUUCUUUUGCUCAUUUCUUGGUGGGUUCAAGGAGUUCAUUUCCCUCAAAUUCGUCGUCUCAGUCGUUGCCCGAAAAUAGAUAAAAAUCUAUUCUCGACUUUAUUUUAUUUAAUGAAUAAUUAUUUUAUGUCUUUUAUGUAGUCGAUUUGUAAUCUUAUUUUUUUGUAAGCAUG